rnacentral:rRNA from 1 species
GACGAACGCUGGCGGCGUGCCUAAUACAUGCAAGUCGAACGCUUCUUUCCUCCCGAGUGCUUGCACUCAAUUGGAAAGAGGAGUGGCGGACGGGUGAGUAACACGUGGGUAACCUACCCAUCAGAGGGGGAUAACACUUGGAAACAGGUGCUAAUACCGCAUAACAGUUUAUGCCGCAUGGCAUAAGAGUGAAAGGCGCUUUCGGGUGUCGCUGAUGGAUGGACCCGCGGUACAUUAGCUAGUUGGUGAGGUAACGGCUCACCAAGGCCACGAUGCAUAGCCGACCUGAGAGGGUGAUCGGCCCCACUGGGACUGAGACACGGCCCAGACUCCUACGGGAGGCAGCAGUAGGGAAUCUUCGGCAAUGGACGAAAGUCUGACCGAGCAACGCCGCGUGAGUGAAGAAGGUUUUCGGAUCGUAAAACUCUGUUGUUAGAGAAGAACAAGGACGUUAGUAACUGAACGUCCCCUGACGGUAUCUAACCAGAAAGCCACGGCUAACUACGUG